GACGAACGCUGGCGGCGUGCUUAACACAUGCAAGUCGAACGAAGAGCGAUGGAAGCUUGCUUCUAUCAAUCUUAGUGGCGAACGGGUGAGUAACGCGUAAUCAACCUGCCCUUCAGAGGGGGACAACAGUUGGAAACGACUGCUAAUACCGCAUACGAUCUAACCUCGGCAUCGAGGAAAGAUGACAGGUGGACUCUAUGUAUAAGCUAUCACUGAAGGAGGGGAUUGCGUCUGAUUAGCUAGUUGGAGGGGUAACGGCCCACCAAGGCGAUGAUCAGUAACCUGGCUGGGAGGAUGAACGGCCACAUUGGGACUGAGACACGGCCCAGACUCCUACGGGAGGCAGCAGGUGGGGAUCUUCCGCAAUGGACGAAAGGCUGACGGAGCAACGCCGCGGUGUGGAUGACGGCCUUCGGGUUGUAAAGCUCUGUUAAUCGGGACGAAAGGCCUUCUUGCGAAUAGUGAGAAGGAUUGACGGUACCGGAAGAGAAAGCCACGGCUAACUACGUG
rnacentral:rRNA from 1 species